CUACGGGAGGCUCCAGCCGAGAAUAUUCCGCAAUGGGCGAAAGCCUGACGGAGCGACGCCGCGUGAAGGAUGAAGGCCCUCGGGUCGUAAACUUCUUUUAUGAGGGAGGAAAUUUUUGACGUUACCUCAUGAAUAAGGAGCUCCUAAUUCCGUGCCAGCAGGAGCGGUCAUACGGAAGCUUCAAGCGUUACCCGGAAUCACUGGGCGUAAAGGGUGUGUAGGUUGUUUAGUUAGUCUCCUGUUAAAGACCCGGGCUCAACCCGGGGAGUGCGGGGGAAACGGCUAAACUAGAGUAUGAGAGAGGUGAACGGAACUCAUAGUGUAGGAGUGAAAUCCGUUGAUAUUAUGGGGAACACCAAAGGCGAAGGCAGUUCACUGGCUCAUUACUGACACUGAGACACGAAAGCGUGGGUAGCGAACGGGAUUAGAUACCCGAGUAGUC
rnacentral:rRNA from 1 species